UCCUCUGAAUUCGCCUUUUCAAAUAUAAUUCAAGGGCUCUUGAGCUUGAUCUUGAACUUGGGAUUUAUCUCGAUCUUGAUCUCUAUCUUGAUCUUGAUCUUGGAUUUGGACUUGAUCUUGACUUGAACUUUAUCUUGAUCUUGGACUUGAACUUUAUCUUGAUCUUGACUUUCUAGUUGAAUUCAAGGGCUUCGAGCUUGAUCUUGAAUCCGACGGUCUUGAUCUUGAUCGUUCUUGAAUUUGAUCUUGAACUUGAUCUUGACUUCUUC
rnacentral:lncRNA from 1 species